GCCAAUGUGGCAUAGUGGUUUGAGUGUUAGACAAUGACUCUGGAGACCAGGGUUCGAUUACCCAGUUGGCC